rnacentral:rRNA from 1 species
CCUACGGGAGGCAGCAGUGGGGAAUUUUGGACAAUGGACGCAAGUCUGAUCCAGCCAUUCCGCGUGCAGGACGAAGGCCUUCGGGUUGUAAACUGCUUUUGUACGGAACGAAAAAAGCUCUUAUUAAUACUAGGAGUCCAUGACGGUACCGUAAGAAUAAGCACCGGCUAACUACGUGCCAGCAGCCGCGGUAAUACGUAGGGUGCAAGCGUUAAUCGGAAUUACUGGGCGUAAAGCGUGCGCAGGCGGUUACAUAAGACAGAUGUGAAAUCCCCGAGCUUAACUUGGGAACUGCAUUUGUGACUGUAUAGCUAGAGUACGGCAGAGGGGGAUGGAAUUCCGCGUGUAGCAGUGAAAUGCGUAGAUAUGCGGAGGAACACCGAUGGCGAAGGCAAUCCCCUGGGCCUGUACUGACGCUCAUGCACGAAAGCGUGGGGAGCAAACAGGAUUAGAUACCCUGGUAGUCCACGCCCUAAACGAUGUCAACUGGUUGUUGGGUCUUCACUGACUCAGUAACGAAGCUAACGCGUGAAGUUGACCGCCUGGGGAGUACGGCCGCAAGGUUGAAACGUCAAAGGAAUUGAGG